GUUAUAUGGUCAAGUGAAGAAGCGCAUACGGUGGAUGCCUUGGCAGUCAGAGGCGAUGAAAGACGUGGUAGCCUGCGAAAAGCUUCGAGGAGUCGGCAAACAGACUUUGAUCCGGAGAUCUCUGAAUGGGGGAACCCACCUAGGAUAACCUAGGUAUCUUGUACUGAAUCCAUAGGUGCAAGAGGCGAACCAGGGGAACUGAAACAUCUAAGUACCCUGAGGAAAAGAAAUCAACCGAGAUUCCCUUAGUAGUGGCGAGCGAACGGGGAUUAGCCCUUAAGCUUCAUUGAUUUUAGCGGAACGCUCUGGAAAGUGCGGCCAUAGUGGGUGAUAGCCCCGUACGCGAAAGGAUCUUUGAAGUGAAAUCGAGUAGGACGGAGCACGAGAAACUUUGUCUGAACAUGGGGGACCAUCCUCCAAGGCUAAAUACUACUGACUGACCGAUAGUGAACCAGUACCGUGAGGGAAAGGCGAAAAGAACCCCGGAGAGGGGAGUGAAAUAGAACCUGAAACCGUAUGCGUACAAGCAGUGGGAGCCUACUUGUUAGGUGACUGCGUACCUUUUGUAUAAUGGGUCAGCGACUUAUAUUCAGUGGCAAGCUUAACCGUAUAGGGUAGGCGUAGCGAAAGCGAGUCUUAAUAGGGCGUUUAGUCGCUGGGUAUAGACCCGAAACCGGGCGAUCUAUCCAUGAGCAGGUUGAAGGUUAGGUAACACUGACUGGAGGACCGAACCCACUCCCGUUGAAAAGGUAGGGGAUGACUUGUGGAUCGGAGUGAAAGGCUAAUCAAGCUCGGAGAUAGCUGGUUCUCCUCGAAAGCUAUUUAGGUAGCGCCUCAUGUAUCACUCUGGGGGGUAGAGCACUGUUUCGGCUAGGGGGUCAUCCCGACUUACCAAACCGAUGCAAACUCCGAAUACCCAGAAGUGCCGAGCAUGGGAGACACACGGCGGGUGCUAACGUCCGUCGUGAAAAGGGAAACAACCCAGACCGCCAGCUAAGGUCCCAAAGUUGUGGUUAAGUGGUAAACGAUGUGGGAAGGCUUAGACAGCUAGGAGGUUGGCUUAGAAGCAGCCACCCUUUAAAGAAAGCGUAAUAGCUCACUAGUCGAGUCGGCCUGCGCGGAAGAUGUAACGGGGCUCAAACCACACACCGAAGCUGCGGGUGUCACGUAAGUGACGCGGUAGAGGAGCGUUCUGUAAGCCUGUGAAGGUGAGUUGAGAAGCUUGCUGGAGGUAUCAGAAGUGCGAAUGCUGACAUGAGUAACGACAAUGGGUGUGAAAAACACCCACGCCGAAAGACCAAGGGUUCCUGCGCAACGUUAAUCGACGCAGGGUUAGUCGGUUCCUAAGGCGAGGCUGAAAAGCGUAGUCGAUGGGAAACAGGUUAAUAUUCCUGUACUUCUGGUUACUGCGAUGGAGGGACGGAGAAGGCUAGGCCAGCUUGGCGUUGGUUGUCCAAGUUUAAGGUGGUAGGCUGAAAUCUUAGGUAAAUCCGGGGUUUCAAGGCCGAGAGCUGAUGACGAGUCGUCUUUUAGAUGACGAAGUGGUUGAUGCCAUGCUUCCAAGAAAAGCUUCUAAGCUUCAGGUAACCAGGAACCGUACCCCAAACCGACACAGGUGGUCGGGUAGAGAAUACCAAGGCGCUUGAGAGAACUCGGGUGAAGGAACUAGGCAAAAUGGCACCGUAACUUCGGGAGAAGGUGCGCCGGCUAGGGUGAAGGAUUUACUCCGUAAGCUCUGGCUGGUCGAAGAUACCAGGCCGCUGCGACUGUUUAUUAAAAACACAGCACUCUGCAAACACGAAAGUGGACGUAUAGGGUGUGACGCCUGCCCGGUGCCGGAAGGUUAAUUGAUGGGGUUAGCGCAAGCGAAGCUCUUGAUCGAAGCCCCGGUAAACGGCGGCCGUAACUAUAACGGUCCUAAGGUAGCGAAAUUCCUUGUCGGGUAAGUUCCGACCUGCACGAAUGGCGUAACGAUGGCGGCGCUGUCUCCACCCGAGACUCAGUGAAAUUGAAAUCGCUGUGAAGAUGCAGUGUAUCCGCGGCUAGACGGAAAGACCCCGUGAACCUUUACUGUAGCUUUGCACUGGACUUUGAGCCUGCUUGUGUAGGAUAGGUGGGAGGCUUUGAAGCGUGGACGCCAGUUCGCGUGGAGCCAUCCUUGAAAUACCACCCUGGCAUGCUUGAGGUUCUAACUCUGGUCCGUAAUCCGGAUCGAGGACAGUGUAUGGUGGGCAGUUUGACUGGGGCGGUCUCCUCCUAAAGAGUAACGGAGGAGUACGAAGGUGCGCUCAGACCGGUCGGAAAUCGGUCGCAGAGUAUAAAGGCAAAAGCGCGCUUGACUGCGAGACAGACACGUCGAGCAGGUACGAAAGUAGGUCUUAGUGAUCCGGUGGUUCUGUAUGGAAGGGCCAUCGCUCAACGGAUAAAAGGUACUCCGGGGAUAACAGGCUGAUACCGCCCAAGAGUUCAUAUCGACGGCGGUGUUUGGCACCUCGAUGUCGGCUCAUCACAUCCUGGGGCUGAAGCCGGUCCCAAGGGUAUGGCUGUUCGCCAUUUAAAGUGGUACGCGAGCUGGGUUUAGAACGUCGUGAGACAGUUCGGUCCCUAUCUGCCGUGGACGUUUGAGAUUUGAGAGGGGCUGCUCCUAGUACGAGAGGACCGGAGUGGACGAACCUCUGGUGUUCCGGUUGUCACGCCAGUGGCAUUGCCGGGUAGCUAUGUUCGGAAAAGAUAACCGCUGAAAGCAUCUAAGCGGGAAACUUGCCUCAAGAUGAGAUCUCACUGGGAACUUGAUUCCCCUGAAGGGCCGUCGAAGACUACGACGUUGAUAGGCUGGGUGUGUAAGCGUUGUGAGGCGUUGAGCUAACCAGUACUAAUUGCCCGUGAGGCUUGACCAUAUAACACCCAAACA
rnacentral:rRNA from 1 species